rnacentral:lncRNA from 1 species
UAUUGCUCUCCCACAACCCCGUUUUCACAGUUUAGGCUGCUCCCAUUUCGCUCACCGCUACUAUGGGAAUCGUUUUUACUUUCUUUUCCUCUGGCUACUAAGAUGUUUUAGUUUGCCAGGUUAUCUCUUGCCUGCCCAUGGAUUCAACAGCAGUUCGAAAGGUUGCCCUAUUCAGGAAUCUUCAGAUCUAUGCUUAUUUUCAACUCCUCGAAGCAUUUCAUCGAUUACUAUGCCCUUCCUCAUCUCUUGGGUGCCUAGGUAUCCAUCUUAAGCCUUUACUCAUUUGAACCUCGCCCUUCACUUUUAUGGCUAUGCCAUCCUAAGGUGCUGCUAAAUGGAUAGAUCUUAUUAACGUCCAUGAAUGAUAAAUCAUAGAUUGAACUGCCGAAUCGAAAAAAUUGGGUGCUAUCAUAAAGCUUUGUAUUAGCUAAGUUCACAAGUUGGAGAUAAGCGAACUCAAACCGCUGACAUCCGACGCAGGGUAAACUACCGCCUCUCAGGUCCCCCAACUAAUUCUACCAUAGAGGCCAAUGAUAGAUAAUAACUCCCCCCUAAACACAGCUUAUAACUUUCAUCUUACUGUGCUCUCCAAAGAGCAACUCUUCUCAAAAUCUCACUCAAAAGGUGCUGAGUUGGAAUCCCAUUCUAACUAAGGAUUCUUGUAGUUUCGUAGGAUCCAACUAUAGGAGAACCAGGAACGAAGGGCUUUCCCCCCUUUCCGUCCGACUCUUUGGUCUUAAGAAUGCUGGUUUUAAGAAUGAGUAAUUGCCCUUCUCCAACCCUGACUGGCGAACCUGAGAGCGGACAGCUAAUGUGUUCCACUUAUUCAAUAGGGUUCUAUGGUCGGUCCGUGACCCCUGGAUACCGAAGGAGUCCUUGGGGUGAUCUUAUAGUUCCUAUGGGGUGGAGAUGAUGGGGUCGGUCAAUGGAUUUUCCUUCCUUUUCUUUUGACGCAUUUCGCUCAAAGGGUUGAAGGGAGAUAGUGCAUUAAGCUGUUUGCAAGGGCCAACUUGAUCCUCUUCCCCAGAGAUCUCAGAUGAGGGAACCCUGGGAGAGCCACCGACUCCAACUACCGUCCAUGUACGAUCCAUACUAGAUCUGACCAACUGCCCAUCCUACCUCCUCUGUAUUCUUGACAGCCCAUCUUUGUCUCAGUAGAGUCUUUUAGUGGCACGUUUCGGUCCUCUUCCCCAUUACUUAGAAAAAGUGAGCCACCGAAUCAGGUACAAGAUACUAUCAUUACCGCCUGGAAAAUUAGACAUCCAACCCGUAAUCGCUAUGACUCAAUUGCAAGUGCGAAACUCUACCAACUGAGCUAUAUCCCCCCGAGCCAAGUGGAUCAUGCAUGGUGUAGUCAGAUGCUUCUUCUAUUCUUUUCCCUGGCGCAGCUGGGCCAUCCUGGAAUUGAACCAGAGACCUCUCCCGUGAAGUAAAUCAUCGCACCUACGGUCUAACCAAUGGGAUAGAAUCAAUAGAUUCCUUUUUGAGAGAGAUUCAUCCUUCAUUCUCCAAGUGUGCUUGUUCCCCUCUUCUUCCUUACCCUGGAAAGUUUUUGUGAAAUAACUCCGAUGAGAAGAUAAAAGAAGGCGUUAAGAGACUCUCCUGGCCCAACCCUAGACACUCUAAGAUCCUUUUUCAAACCUGCUCCCAUUUUGAUUUCGAGUUAAGAAAAAAAUAACUCGAAUGGUACGAUCCCUUCGUAACCCUAGCAUGAAAGGGGUGAUCUCGUAGUUCUUGGUAUGUGAAGAUGCGUUGUUAGGUGCUCCAUUUUAUUUUUCCUUUGAGGCCAAACCUAAAACUGUGCUUGUGAGAUAGUUGUCCAUACACUGAUAAGGGAUGUAAGGAUUCUCGAUAAGAGAGGAGCGGUGGUAGUCCCCCCCGGACUGAGUGAUUCAAUUGUGUACCAAUAAACUAAAUUUGAUAAUCUACUGAUAGACCAUCUUCAAAUUUACCCAAUUGUUGGUCCAAUUUGGUGAUUAAUUUACAUGACCAGUGAGGUUUUUUUUUCCUUAUUUCGUUUAUUCCUAUCGAUUUAUUUCCAGGUUUUGUCUCAUUAGGAUCAAUUGCGUUGAAUACAAAUUUUAAAAAUUUAGUUUUUUUUCUGAGUUCGUUCUUACCUGUUCUUGGUCUGAAAAUAAAAAAAGGUCUUUCAAAUUUAAACUCGACUUUGGUUCGUUACCGAAUUCAUUGAUUAUAGUUAAGAACUCGUCAAUUUCUGUUGAUAAUGGUUUUUUUAUCAAUUGUAUCCACUUUUUGUUCAAAUUCUUGGUAAUCAGUAUUCGGAAGAAAGAUAGUAUGAAUCCUAUUUAGUUUAACUCUCUCUUUCAAAUUUUCUAUCGAAUUAUUGUUUAUGAUUGAAGGUGAAACCCCUUUUUUGAUUGUUCCUCGAUAUGGUCCAUUUAACAAAGGAUCGUACAUUUUAGGCAUGUAUUCUUUUUUAGUAUCAUCAUUACACUAUCUAGUCCUCGUUUCAAGUAUAUCCAGAGAAAGAGAUUCCUUGUCUAGAACUUCAAGUCGAUUUAAAAAUUCCUUAUUCAGAUUAUUACUUUUUUCUUUGUUGGUAGAAACCCACUGAUUGUCCAGUUCAUGAGGGAGCAUUUUUUGGAGUGACAAUAGGGGUAUCUUUCUUUUUAUCAUUUCCCAAAAAGUUGAUAAACUUGGCAGGUAUGUAAAAGAUAUUCUUUGUUUUCCAUCAGUUUUACAUGUGUCAAAAAAAUAUUGUGACAUUUCAGUUCUUAUGGCUUGGUCAAAUCGAUUAUUCUUUAUUUAGCAAAAUGGUCGAUUCCACCGAUUAUAAUCGAAAAGAAUACUCACAAGAGGUUUUUUAAACCCGAAGAGGUCUUGAUUUUCAUUUUCGUUAUCAAGCAAUUGCAAUUUAAAAUUUUCUGGAUUACCCGUGUUAUUAUUAUUAUUAUUCAGAUAAGAAUCUUUUUUAUCAUAAAUUUCACAAUUACUAGUAUUAAUAUUUUUAUAGCCUCUCUCUGUAAGGUGAGAGUGGAAUUUAUCCUUUAUUUUGUCCUUUCCAUUCACUCGAAUUUCUUCCGUUUCAUCGAUUUUGUCCGGAUCCGACCCUUCUUCCGAAAAAGGGGAAGGAGAAGGAUAAGGAUCUUCUUCAGUGGAUCCCUCUUGAAAAAGGGAAGGAGAAGGAUAAGGAUCUUCUUCAGUGGAUCCCUCUUGAAAAAGGGAAGGAGAAGGAUAAGGAUCUUCUUCAGUGGAUCCCUCUUGUUCCUGUUUAGUCCCCUUCAUUUCGGAAGCAGUUUCUACAUCUCUUUCUUCCUCACUUUCCUCCCUUUCUUCUGUUUUUGAGGCCUCUUUCAGUUUCUUAGCUUCUUUCAGUUUCUUAGUAAGAAUGGGUGAGGGUAUUCUGCCUAAAUAGUAGACACAGGUAAUAAAUAAGAGAAUACUAAAGAUCCGAGCCAUAGAAUUUCUCAAUUCUAACACAAGGUACUUAUUAGAUCGAAUGUACUUAUUAGAUCGAAUGUACUUAUUCGAUCUAAUAGAAUGAUUUUGCCGUAUCCAGACUAAUCCCAAUCCAAGUCAUUUCAUGAAUAAAAUGUGAACAAUUAACCAACCAACAAAACCAUUUGUUACAAAUAAGAUCUUGUUGUUGCAUCGAAAGAGAUAAAUGUUGACUAAUCUGGCUAACAUUGAACUUGGUAAAAUGAAAUGGUUGAAUAAUUGAAAAAUGAGAUUACUCAGGAAUACACAUUGAAUGCUGAGAUUGCACAUUGAAUUUCUGGUAGUAUAUCCAUAAAAAAAAAGUGUUUGUGAUUGUUCCAGAAGAAAUGAAACAAAAGAUAUGGUAGAGCUAGGACGGUUAUUGUAUGAGGUCUACCCAAUGCUAGAUGCAGAGGAGCAUAAUAGAUCGAUAUGAACAUCAUGAGCUAUCCCAUAAUAAAACCAGUUGUUGUUGAUACCUUCUUCUCGGUUCCUUCUUCCAUAACUAGAGCUCGAAGAAGGAAGAGAUAAGAGGGCCCUAUGGAGAACGUGGUAAGAAAUUCAUAAUAGAGUCCGACUACAACAACUGAAUUGAUUGUCUUCAUGCAUAAGGAUACUAGAUUACCUAGUAGAAAAGAUUAAAAAAUCAUCACAAACCUCCCUUAUUUCUUUUUCUAUUGCAAUUUCUGGAUUAUUAUAUGAUGAUUUUUUCACUUUCCAUAUAUAGAAAAGAAAUAGAAAGAGAUAGACUAGAAACAACAUCUAUUAUGCCAAUAAGACCAAAGGGAUAUUAAAUGAAUGGAAUUGGGAUAUGGAUGGAAUAUAAUGAAAUAAAUCCACUUUGUGGUUCCUUCUGAAAUGAGGCAUGUAAGGGAGUCACUACGAAGAAGUUUCGAGAGUUACAAAGGAAAAUUCUAGCUCAUAUUGGUCAUGGGUUGGGAAUAGGAAUUGAAAUCUAUGAGAUUGAAUCUCUUGUUGUUCCUCAGUAGCUCAGUGGUAGAGCGGUCGGCUGUUAACCGAUUGGUUGUAGGUUCAAAUCCUACUUGGGGAGAUUUGAUUGAUUCUGAAUUAAAGAAUUCAGAAUAAAGGGGCUCGCUUUGCCCGUUAACAGUAGGUAACCCAUUCCCUAUCUUUUUUUCUUUUGCAUUCUAUCUCAUCAUAUCACAUUCUGUUCUGGGAGAUUACAAAAUCACCAUCAAUACCUCAGUCUAAGUCCGAGAUAAUCCUUUGUUCCAUAGCCCUGGGGUGGGGCUAAUUACAACUAGCCAAUUAAGAAGUCUCAGAUGUACUAGCACUGCAUCUUUGAUGCAGUCAUCAAUUCUCCCAUAUAAAUGAAAGAAAAAGAAAAAGGAAUGACAUCACAACGAGAUUCUAAUCUCAAAACAAAAAGAAAGGGGGAUAUGGCGAAAUCGGUAGACGCUACGGACUUAAUUGGAUUGAGCCUUGGUAUGGAAAUGUACUAAGUGAUCACUUUCAAAUUCAGAGAAACCUUGGAAUGAACAAAAAUGGGCGAUCCUAAGCCAAAUCAUUUUUUUUGAAAACAAAUAAAGGUUCAGAAAAAAAGGAUAGGCGCAGAAACUCAAAUGAAAGCUAUUCUAACAAAUGGAGUUAAAUGUGUUGGUAGAGGAAUCUUUACAUUGAAACUUCAGAAAGAAAAAGAAUGAAGUGAAGUAUAAAUAUAUAUACAUACGUAUUGAAUACUAUAUCAAAUGAUUAAUGACGAUCCGAAUCCCUGAUCAAAUCAUUCACUCCAUAGUCUGAUAGAUCUUUUGAAGAACUGAUUAAUCGGACGAGAAUAAAGAUAGAGUCCCGUUCUACAUGUCAAUACCGGCAACAAUGAAAUUUAUAGUAAGAGGAAAAUCCGUCGACUUUUAAAAUCAUGAGGGUUGAAGUCCCUCUAUCCCCAAAAAGACUAUUUCAACCCCCAACUAUUUCUCCGACCCCUUUUCCUUAGCAGUUCCAAAUUACUUAUCUUUCUCAUUCACUCUAUUAUUUUAGAAAUGGAUUUUUCUUUUAGAAAUGGAUUUUAGCGUAAAUGGAUUUCUCUUCAGCCUUGUGAUAUAUAUGAUACACAUAGAACUGAACAUCUUUGAGUAAGGAAUACCUAGUUGAAUGAUUACCCAUAUCAUUACUCAAUACUAAAACUUACAAAGUCAUUUUUUUGAAGAUCGAAGAAAUUCCCCGGCUUUGAUAAAAUUUUUUAAUCAACUUUUGUCCUUUUAAUUUACAAAGACCUAUUGACAAAGACCCCUUUAUGUGUUGAGAUAAAAUUUUUUAAGAUAAAAUUAGAGUAACAAGCAGAGAACUAAAAAUCCUCAUGUUAAUGAAUGGUUCCAAUUGGGAAGACCACAGGACUCUAAAUCCUCCUAUUAACGGGGACUGAAAAUUCUUAUGUUCGAGGUUCCAAUUGGGAUUGGUAGACCAAAGGAUUGUAAAUCCUCGUCCCACCAGUUCCAAUUAGGAAUACCGGGGGACUCUAAAUCUUUGUGUUCAAGGUUCGAAUUAGGAUUGGUAUAGCCCUGAAAAUCCUCGGGUUACCAGUCCCAACCUUGAUAAAAAAUCUGGAUUGGGAAUAGCCGGGAUAGCUCAGUUGGUAGAGCAGAGGACUGAAAAUCCUCGUGUCACCAGUUCAAAUCUGGUUCCUGGCACAUGAUUAAUUUGUAUGGGUCUCUCUUCACUAGAAUUAAUUUCUAAUUAAUUGAUAUGAAUCAACAUACAUAUUCUUUUAGAGUCUAGAUUAGAAUAAUAGCUUUAUCCAGUUUGGCGAGAUAUACCCCAUACUAUGUUCUAUAUGGGUAGAGUUUCUUAGAUAAAGUAUCGAAAAGAAUUGGAUUCUAUCUCCUCUUUUUUUUCUUCUCUCGUUCAAACAAAUUUGAAUACGUAAUACAUAUUUGAAAGGUAAAAUUGGUUAAUUGUUGAAAGUCUCAAAAGUCGAAUCUAGGAGGGUUGAAAUAAACAAGAUUCAGCUCAGAUCCAAAGAAAUAGAAUUCGAUAUUCUAUCAUUUCUUUGUCUUUUCUUUCAUAUUCGAUUUCUUCAUUCCGGAUUUCUCCAUCCCUUCCUAUAUGCCCUUCUAGAACCCAUCUAAGUAAUGUGCGCAGUACAAAGUUCAUGAUGCAGAACUCAUUUGGUUCAUCCUAUAGGUAUGACUCAUCCGAAAUAAGAAUCUUCUAAAUAAAUGUGAGAAUUACAAUGAAUCCCCAAUUGUCUUUUUUUGUUAGACUAUUUAUAAUUCCCUAAAUUAGACCUGCUUAAUCUAGAACAGAACAUGCAAUCCUUGAAUAUCUUAAAUUGUCUAAGUGGAAAUAGCUUUCUUAUCAUUCAAUGAGCAUCUUGUAUUUCAUAAAAAUUGGGGGCAAUAUAAUCCUUACAUAAGGGCCAUCCUAUCCAACUUUCAGGCAUUAAGAUACAUUUCAAGGAUUGAGAGUAGAGAUAAUUGUACCCAUACACAUAAAAAAUGACAGCAAUGGAAUGCCAAUCCUCGGGCUUUAUUUGUAAAGUCUCUAUUCCUUGGUAAUCAAACAUCCAAAGAUCUAUGAAUUAGCCCAUACUUGACUAGCCAAGUAGACAAAAGACCCUGCAUCUUUUUUAUCUCUCCCGCAUUUUUAUUUGUAUAAGUAUUUCAGAUUUAUGAUUAAAUUUAUGAAAAUUGACCCACCACUUCUUUUAUGGACAAAGGAAUCCUCUCUAAUUCACUAAUUCGGGGGAAGAUACUAAAUUUUUGUAUUUGGAAAAGAUUUUCGUAGGGAUCUCUGAAGUAGAUGGUGGUUGAUAAAGAACUCUUUGAUCAUAAUUUCCCGUAUGAAUACUGCGUCGAACAUGAAACUUGUUAUUGGUAGUAAAACACCGAAUCACUCAUUGAGACCUAAUUCGAUCUUCAUAGAGUUCUCGAGAUAUUUUCUUACGAAGUUUUGUUAUAGCAUCUAUAAUUGAUUCUGGUUUAGGUGGGCAACCUGGAAAAUAUAUAUCUAUAGGAAUUAACUUAUCGACUCCCCGAACAGUACUAUAAGAAUUGGUACUGAACAUCGCACCUCUAAUUGUACAGGAUCCCAUAAAAAUAACAUAUUUUGGUUUAGGCAUUUGCUCAUAUAAUCUCAUUAAAGAGGGGGCCAUUUUCAUUGUUACUGUUCCAGCUGUUAAAAUUAGAUUCGCUUUUCUAGAACUCUAUCUUGGUACUAGUCCAUAACGAUCAAAGUCGAAGCGUGAGCCUAUUAGUGAAGCAAAUUCAAUGAAGCAACAAUUGGUACCAUAGAGAAGCGGCCAUAAACUAGAGAGUCUUAACCAAUUUGAAAGAUCAUUUAAUGUAGUUGAAAUAACUGAAUUUGGGGCUGUUCGAUCAAGUAAAGGAAACUAAAUAGAAUUCAUACCUGUCUCAAUCUUAUUUUUUUCGUUUUUCUUUUUACUGUCUAAAUAUUCAGGAGCUAAGACCAUUCCAAUGCCCCCUUUCGCCAUGCAUAAACUAAACAAUAAUUAAGGUAAUCACAAAAAUCGAAGCUUCUAUAUAUACAGAUACACCCAAUACGUCGAAACUCAUUGUCCAUGGAUAAAGAAAAACCAUUUCAACAUCAAAAACAACAAAAACUAGAGCAAACAUAUAAUAACAGAUUCGAAAUUGUAACCAAGCAUCACCCAUUGGUUCUAUACCCGACUCAUAAGUAGAAAGUUUCUCCGGCCCUUUGCUAAUCGGGGCUAACACUCCGGAAAUGAAAAAUGCCAAAAUAGGAACAAGGAUGGAUAUUAUUAGAAAUGCCCAAAAAAAAUCAUAUUCGUAAAGCAGAAACAUAAACGCACUCCUAUGAACGUGGAAAAUAUACCGGAUUCGAUUGGUCGAUUCAAACAUGAAUUAAAGACAGGGAUAGAAUGUAGCAGUACCAAAUAUAUUUACUUUACCUAGUACUCAAGAUUAUUUCCCUAGGUCGAGGUAAGUAAGGUAUACGAAGGAAAAGCCUAUUUGAUAAUAAAAGUGACCAAAGAUAUUCGUUUAUCAAAAAACUUUAGCUUGUACACAAAUACAACAGUCCCUUCCUCAAUCUAUGUGAAUUCCUCUUCGUAGUUUUUCAUUUCACCAGGCCCGUGAAAUGAUUUGACUUCCAAAAUUCAAUAAUAUUGGGGAUAUAAAAGAAAGGGAGUUUCACUAAUUCUUUAAUUGUGGAUAUGAAUAUGUAAUUCGCCUCCGAAGAUUAAUGAUGAAAGAUUGGUUUGUUUAUCUGUAAUUGAAAAAAUAAAUAUCGAUUGGAUCUAUUGAUAUGCGUUUUUUUUUCAUCUUCUUAAACUUAAAUGAUUGCCAUGAGUAAACUUAUAGGAAUAGUUGAAUUUCACUUAGUUACAAGCAAUAAAUAAUAAUGAAGAAAUGAAAAUUAUACAAUUUUUUUUCAUUUUUAUUUUAAUUUAUAGGGCUAUAUAGACUUGAACCGUAGACCUUCUCGGUAAAACUGAUCGAACUUAUUAUUAUUAUAAUGAUCUGAACUGUUUCAAAGACCCAACAUGCAAUUUUUUUGCAUUGGGCUCUUUCAUUAACUGAUAUUUAUAGCAGUUAGUCUGCCAUAUUUUUCUUGACAGGAAAAAAGAUAAGGAAAUGGCUCCAUGUGCUCUGAUUCAUUAUUUGGGAGCAUUACCAAAGUGUUUCAAAGGUGGGAUUAUCUUGACGUAGUUCUGUCUCUGGCCUAAAUAAACCUAAGUUAAAUGAAGUCUCUAUCAUUUCUUCUUAAAAAAUCAAAUAUGAAACUUCAUACACCUUAAAGUUCAUAUGACGAAAAGAGAUUUUUUUGAGGUCCUUAUACUCUCAUUUUGCCUAGUAUUGAAUAGACUGGGUAUUCACCUUAUCAACAUCUUAAAUCAAUGAUGGGGUCUGUUUGGCACCUCCUAAAUAGACGUCCAAAUUGGACCGAACCCUUUGUCAGGCUAUGGUUCCCUCAAAGUUAUGGAGUAAGACAUCGAUUUCUCAACAAGAUCGAUUUUUCUGAUUGUAUGAUGAACUCCCUUGAAAAACAUUGGCGCGCGUGUAAACGAGUUGCUCUACCAACUGAGCUAUAGCCCUUAGUGCUUGUGAUACAUAUUUUAUCAUGUAGAUAAAUUCUUGUCAAGAUAAAUAUUCCAUGAUCCAACAUCAACAAUCUUUGAUCUCUUUGAGUGGUAUUCCUUAGAUUAGUAUUGCUUAUUAGAUUAGUAUUGCUUAUAAGUAAUAUGAUAUUUAUAAUCCAUCGACAGGAUGGGUUUCGUUUGGUUCUCUUUGGAAUGAUAAAUGACCUACUUAACUCAGUGGUUAGAGUACUGCUUUCAUACGGCGGGAGUCAUUGGUUCAAAUCCAAUAGUAGGUAAAACUUAUUAGAUACCAGAGUCAAUGGUAUCUAAUAAGCUUUACAACCCACCUUUAGUGAUAUUUAUUUUUUGAUUUUGUAUAUUUUCUAUUUCAUUUUUAAAUUUGAAUUUCUGCAUCAGAAUUGACUUUUGUUUGAUUGUAUUCACCCAACAGAAUCUAAAUAGGAUUAGAAAGAGAACUUCUUUUAUUAUUCAAAUAUACUAAAUAGUCAUACUAAAUAGUUAUGAAAUUGGAUUGAUAGCCUUCACCCGUGUUCUAGCUCAUUGGAGAGCUAGAUUUGCCUCAAUUUUUUGUCUCCUUCCAUCAGCCUUUUUCAGAUUUGCCUCCACUAUUUCAAGAGUUUGCUGAGCUUCUUGUGGAUGAAUGUCACUACCUUCUUGUGGAUGAAUGUCACUACCCUUCUCCGCAUCAUUUACUAAAACAGUGAUCUCAUUAUUGCCUAUUCUAGCAAAGCCAACCAUCAGAGCCAUCGUUAACCAUUGGUUGUUAAGGCGUAUUCGCAAAAUCCCUAUAUCUACAGCUGUGGCAAUAGGGACGUGAUUUGGUAAUAUGCCAAUUUGACCACUAUUAGUAGAUAACACGAUUUCUUCCACUUCUGAAUCCCAAACAAUUUGAUUAGGAGUCAGUACACUAAGAUUUAAGGUCAUUUUUUCAAAUUUCUCUCCAUUUCUAAGUUCAUAGCCUUCGCGGUAGCUUCAUCGAUAUUACCUACAAAAUAAAAGGCCAUUUCAGGAAGACCAUCUAAUUCUACGGAAAGGAUCAAUUGAAAUCCUCGAAUUGUUUCUACUAGACCAACAUAUUUCCUUGGAGAACCAGUAAAUACUUCUGCUACGAAAAAGGGUUGUGAUAAGAAACGCGCAAUUUUUAUGCUCUUGCUACGAGUAAACGAUCCUCUUCGGAUAAUUCAUCCAAUCCAAGGAUAGCUAUAAUGUCCUGAAGUUCUUUAUAACGUUGUAAAGUUUGCUUAACUCGUUGGACGGUUUUGUAAUGUUCCUCACCAAUGAUCCGAGGUUGAAGCAUGGUUGACGUUAAAUCUAAAGGAUCUACUUCUAGAUAAAUACCUUUGGAAGCCAAUCCUAUUGAUAGUAUGGUAGUAGCAUCUAAAUGUGCAAAUGUCGUAGAAGGAGCAGGGUCGGUCAAAUCAUCUGCGGGUACAUAAACUGCUUGAAUAGAUGUUAUGGACCCUUCUUUGGUAGAAGUAAUUAUUUCUUGUAAAAAACCUAUUUCAGUACUUAGGGUCAGUUGAUAACCCACAGCGGAAGGCAUUCUACCCAAUAAGGCCGAUACUUCAGAUCUUGCUUGGAUGAAACGGAAGAUAUUGUCAAUAAAUAGAAGUACGUCUUGCUCAUUAACAUCUCGGAAAUAUUCCGCCAUAGUUAGGGCAGUCAAACCAACUCUCAUACGAGAUCCUGGUGUUUCAUUUAUCUGACCGUAAAAUAGGUCCACUUUUGAUUCUACAAUAUUUUCUUCAUUAAUCACUCCAGAUUCUUUCAUUUCCAUGUAAAGAUCAUUUCCUUCCCAAGUACGUUCACCCACUCCGCCAAAUACGGAUACACCCCCAUGAGCUUUAGUAAUAUUGUUAAUCAAUGCCAUAAUGAAUACUGUUUUACCCACUCCAACUCCCCCAAAUAGUCUAAUUUUUCCUCCACGACGAUAACAGGCUAGAAGAUCUACUACUCUAAUUCCUGUUUCAAAAAUAGAUAAUUUUGUAUCCAACUGUAUAAAGGCAGGCACAGAUCUAUGAAUAGGAAACAUUGUACUAGUAUAUACAGGCCCUAAAUUAUCAAUAGGAUCUUCGAGCACAUUAAAAAUUCAUCCCAGAGUCGCCACCCCGACCGGAACACUUAUAAGAGCUCCUGUGUCAAUCGCUUCCAUUCUUCUCGUUAAACCGUCUUUAGCACUCAUAUCUACAACUCUAACUCAAUUAUUUCCUAAUAAUUAUUUUACCUCACAAGCCAUAUUAAUUGGUUGACCAACACUAUCUCGACCUUGAGCUACGAGAGCAUUAUAAAUAUUUGGCACCUUGCCCGGGGGAAAGGCUACAUCUAGUACCGGACUGAUGAUUUGGAUGACACGCCCCAGGUUUUUUUUUCAAGCGUGGAAACCCCAGAACUAGAAGUAGCAGGAUUGAUUCUCAUAAUAAUAAAACAAAUAAAUAUGUUGAAAUGUUUUUUCAAAAAUUAUCGAAUUCAAAGUAAAUGUCCGCUAGCACAUCGAUUGGUUAAUUCAAUAAAAUGGGAAUUAGCACUCGAUUUCGUUGGCACCAUGCAAUUGAACCAAUUCAAUUGUUUACUUAUUCAAUGAGAUUGAUUUAAUUUGCAAGCUCACCCAACCUAUUUUAAUUUAAAAAUCUCAAGUGGAUGAAUCAGAAUCUUGAGAAACUCUUUCAUUUGUCUAUCAUUAUAGACAAUCCUAUCCAUAUUAUCUAUUAUAUGGAAUUCGAACUUGAACUUUAUUUUAUUUUCUAUUACGAUUCUCUAUUUGGAUCUAAUGGGCUCCUCUUCUUAUUUUUCUUAUUUAUUUUUUAGUUAAAUUUCAGCAUAUUGAUUUAUGCCUAGCUUAUUCUUUUCUUUACGUUUUUCUUUCUUUUUUAUACCUUUCAUAGAAGAAUUCCAUAUAUUUUCACAUUCAGGAUUUACAUAUACAACAUAUACCACUGUCAAAGGGGAAGUUCUUAUUAUUUAGGUUAGUUAGGUAUUUCCAUUUCAAAGAAAAAAGGUAAAAAAAUAUAUAUAUAUGAAAGAGUAUACAAUAAUGAUAUAUUUGGAAAAUCAAAUACCAUGGUCUAAUAAUCAACCAUUCUGAUUAAUUGAUAAUAUUAGUAUUAAUUGUAAAUUUUCUGAAAGAUUCCUAUGAAAAGUUUCAUUAACACGUAAUUCGUGUUGAGUAGACCUUGUUGUUGUGAGAAUUCUUACUUCAUGAGUUGUAGGGAGGGAUUUAUGUCACCACAAACAGAGACUAAAUUAAGUGUUGGAUUCAAAGUUGGUGUUAAAGAGUAUAAAUUGACUUAUUAUACUCCUGAGUACCAAACCAAGGAUACUGAUAUAUUGGCAGCAUUCCGAGUAACUCCUCACCUUAGAGUUCCACCUGAAGAAGCAGGGGCCGCGGUAGCUGCCAAAUCUUCUACUGGUACAUGGACAACUGUAUAGACCGAUGGACUUACCAGUAUUGAUCGUUACAAAGGGAGAUGCUACCGCAUCGAGCGUGUUGGUGGAGAAAAAGAUCAAUAUUUUGCUUAUGUAGCUUACCCUUUAGACCUUUUAGAAGAAGGUUCCGUUACCAACAUGUUUACUUCCAUUGUAGGUAAUGUAUUUGGAUUCAAAGCCCUGUGCGCUCUACGUCUGAAAGAUCUGUGAGUCCCUACUGCUUAUAUUAAAACUUCCCAAGGUCUACCUCAUGGGAUCCAAGUUGAAAGAGAUAAAUUGAACAAGUACGGUCGUCCCCUGUUGGGAUGUACUAUUAAACCUAAAUUGGGGUUAUCUGCUAAAAACUUUGGUAGAGCUAUUUAUGAAUGUCUUCGCGGUGGACUUGAUUUUAUCAAAGAUGAUGAGAACGUGAACUCACAACCAUUUAUGUAUUGGAGAGAUCAUUUCUUAUUUUGUGCCGAAGCAUUUUUUAAAGCACAGAAUGAAACAGGUGAAAUCAAAGGGCAUUACUUGAAUGCUACUGCAGGUACAUGUGAAGAAAUUAUGAAAUGAGAUAUAUUUGCUAGAGAAUUGGGUGUUCCGAUCGUAAUGCAUGACUACUUAAUGGGGGGAUUCACCGCAAAUACUAGCUUGGUUCAUUAUUGCCAAGAUAGUGGUCUACUUGUUCAUAUCCACCGUGCAAUGCAUGCGGUUAUUGAUAGACAGAAGAAUCAUGGUAUGCACUUUUGGAUAUUAGCAAAAGCGUUACGUAUGUCUGGUGGAGAUCAUAUUCACGCUGGUACCAUAGUAGGUAAACUUGAAGGUGAAAGAGACAUAACUUUGGGCUUUGUUGAUUUAUUGCGUGCUGAUUUUGUUGAACAAGAUCUAAGUUAUGGUAUUUAUAUCACUCAAGAUUGGGUCUCUUUACCAGGUGUUCUACCUGUGGCUUCAGGAGGUAUUCAUGUUUGGCAUAGAAAGCCUAUUUUCUUCUACGCACCUUCUGGCCCCUCCCUUUGAGUACGAAUAAAAGGACUUUGGUUUACUAGAGACAUCAACAUAUUGUUUUAGCUCGAUGGAAACAAACUCUUUUUCCUCAGGAUCCUAUUAAAUAGAAAUAGAGAACUAAAUAACUAGAAAGGUUGUUAGAAUCCCCAUCAACAAAGCAAUUCGUUUUAUCUGUAUUCAGACCAAAAGCUGAAAUAGAUGUUAUGGGUAGAAUUCUUUUUUUUCAAAUUUUGUUCACAUCUUACAUCUUAUACAUUGAAUCAUAUUCAUAAGGGAGCCGAAUGAAACCAAAGUUUCAUGUUCAGUUUUGAAUUAGAGACGUUAAAAAAAUGAAUCAACGUCCACUAUAACCCGUAGCCUUCCAAGAUAACGAUGCGGGUUCGAUUCCCGCUACCCGCUCUAUAUCUAUUUAUUCUAAAUAUUUUAAUCUAUUCAUUAAAUCAAAUUUAGUUUAUUAGUAUUAGUACAUCAUUGAAUAUACAAUUCAAAAAAUUAUUUCACAUCAGAUUCUUUCUGUUUUUUUUUUCAAACAAAAAGUUAAAAUACGAAAAAAAAAUCAGAAUGAAAAGCGUCCAUUGGUCUAAUGGAUAGGACAGAGGUCUUCUAAACCUUUGGUAUAGGUUCAAAUCCUAUUGGACGCAAUUUAUUUCCAUAUAUAUAUUUUUUAUUUUUUUUUAGAUUUUGAUAGCAAGAAAGACUGUUUGAAUAUUUGAAUCCAAGAUGCUUAAUUCCUUUUUUUUUUAUUAAGAUUAAGACAAGGGUUAUCAAUAUUUCUUUAUGCUUGUUCCUAAAGUAUAAAAUGGUCCAUUUGUUCCUGAAUAGCUUCUUUCAAAAGGGUUUCUGCUUCCUCGAUAAAUUUUUUGGUAGAAGAUAUGAUUUUUUGAAAUUGAGGUUUAUUAGUUUUUAAGUACGUAUAUCAAAAAGAAAUUUCCUUACCUGUCUAACUUCUAAUGAAUCAAGAUAGCUUUUUGUUCCGGUAUAAAUAGUCAUUACCUGCUCUGCUACUGUGAGAGGAUCCACUUGUGAUUGUUUAAGAAAUUCACAUAAUCGUUGAUCUCUUGCCAAUUUAUUCUGAGUAGAUUUAUCGAGAUCAGAAGCAAAUUGUGCAAAGGCUUCUAAUUCUGCGAAUUGUGCUAGUUCUAAUUUUAAUUUACCAACUACUUAUUUCAUGGCUUUUAUUUAAGCUGCGGACCCCACUCUGGAAAUGGAGAUAUCCACAUUAAUAGAAGGUCUGAUUCCAGAAUUGAAUAGGUCGGCGGAUAAGAAGAUUUGUCCAUCAGUAAUGGAAAUUACAUUAGUAGGAAUAUAAGCCGAAACAUCUCCCGAUUGAGUUUUAACUAUUGGUAAGGCGGUUAUACUUCCUUCACCUAAACUAGAAUUUAAUUUAGCGGCUCUUUCCAAAUGGUGUGAAUGCAAAUAAAAAACAUCUCCUAGAUAAGAUUCACGACCGGGCGGUCUUCAUAAUAGAAGAGACAUUUGGUAAUAAGCUUGCGCUUGUUUGGAGAGAUCAUCAUAAAUGAUUAAAGUGUGUCAUUCACGAUACAUAAAAUAUUCAGCCAGAGCUGCUCCUAUAUAAGGAGCAAGGUAUUGUAAUGUAGCAGGAGAAUCCGCCGUUUCGGCUACCACAAUUGUGUAUUCCAUCGCUCCCCUUUCCCGUAAAGUUGUUAAUACCUGGGCCACAAAAGACGCUUUCUUUCCAAUAGCUACAUAAACACAUAAUACAUUUUAACCUUGUUGAUUGAGAAUGGUGUCUGUGGCUACUGCUGUUUUAUCGGUCUGUUUAUCCCCAAUAAUUAAUUCUCACUGGCCACGUCCUAUAGGGAUCAUCGAAUCAAUUGCAAUAAGCCCGGUUUGAAGAGGCUUAUAUACAGAACGCACGAAAUAAUAUCCGGGGUGGCAGAUUCAAUUAAUCAAAAUUUAGAAGCUGAAAUUUCACCUCUACCACAAUAGGUUUAGCCAGGGCAUUUACAACAUAACCCAAAUAAGUCUCACUCACGGGUAUCUGAGCAAUUCUUCCCAUUGCUUUUACAGAACCAAAUAUGAGUCUUUCGAUUCAUUUGGCUCUCACGCUCAAUUACUAAGUUAAAUUCUCAUAUAUUUUUUUAUGAAUGUAAUGAGCCUAUCUUCUCUUCUUUUUUCAUAUUCCAAAAAUAUAUCGAAACUAAUAUAAGACCAAAAUAUUCGGAGGACUCUUCUGACAAAAUAAAAAUAUGCAAUUGUCAGCAAAGUUGUUUCUUUUUUUUUUUUUUUAAAUCCAAAAAGCCCUACUUACUUGAAGAUCUGGACACAUUAAAUUUGAAUCUAAGUCCCCAAAGAAAAUGCAAAUCAAAUAAAGAAAACAUAAAAAUUAGAGCGGGGUCAAACUUUUUGAAUAAAAAGAAUACAAUUAAAAAAAUAAUUGGAAUCGUUCUGAAGAGAAUAUGUGUCCCUGCACUGCACAAAUAAGAUCUGGUUAUAUAUCAUAUAUGUGGGUACAUAUUGUAUAUCAAGAACAAAAAAUGCAGAUAUGGUCGAAUGGUAAAAUUUCUCUUUGCCAAGGAGAGGAUGCGGGUUCGAUUCUCGCUAUCCGCCCAAGAUCCAAGAUAAAGUAGUUUUUUUAAUAUUUAUUAUUUAAUUUCAUAAAUAGCAUUCAAUAUAUCCUUAAAUUAAGAAUUUGGUAUAGUUGGCCGUGAUAGUGUAGUGAUUCUAUCCCUCCCCUACAUUUUCUUUUGCCUUCCACCCCCAAAAAACGAAAGGAGGGAAUUAAUUACUAGUUACCAGAGUCAACCCUAAAAUAGUUUGGAAAAAUAAGAUGUUGCAGAGAUAGGAUUUGAACCUGUGACCUCAAGGUUAUGAGCCUUGUGAGAUACCAAAAUACUUUACCCCGCGCCGAAGAUAAGAACUGAACACUAAUAGAUAAACAAGGAUAAAAUGCGCCCCUCCACUCUAUCUGCACAAAUAGAAUAGCCCAUUUAUACAGAAUUGUAAAAGGGCUUCUAUGAUCAUCGACCAUAGAAAUAGAAAUGAAGCAUUAAUCCUUACCAACUUGAUCUUGUUGCUCCUGGCAACAAACAUGCAUGAACCAUUUCACGAAGUAUGUGUCCAGAUAGUAUAAAAUCUCGAUAGUUAGCUCUCGGACUUCCAUUCAAAAAACAACAUCGAUGAAGGCAUGUAGGUGCACUAUUCCGUGGUAGGGAUUGUAACUUUCCAUAAAUUUCUCAUUUGUCACUCAACGAUGGAACCUUGCUUAUUUCGUUUUUUGAGCAUCGACGAAUCAAAUGAUAUUUCUAUUUCAAUUUUUGCCUCUUCUUCUCCCUUUAAAUCAAACUUUUCUUUGCCAUAAUGGUUGAAUUCCUAUUAGUAUCCAUGAUAAAAGUCGAAUCCAAGAUGUAGAAAUAGAAGAAGGUGGACCCCCUCUCCGUUGAAAGAAAUAAGAUUAUCGCGGAUACACACAUUAAUUAACCAAAUUUGCCCGACGUAGAGGCAAUAAAAAAAAAUGCAUAAGUGAAUACAUAACCUACAGAAAAGUGAGCUAAUCCAACCAAUCUUUCUUGUACAAUAGAAAGGGCCACUGGUUUAUCUCUCCAGCGAAUCAAAUUGGCCAAAGGUGUGCGUUCAUGAGCCCAUGCUAAAGUUUCAAUCAAUUCUUGCCAAUAUCCACGCCAAGAAAUUAAGAACAUAAAUCCAGUAACCCAAAGAAGAUGUCAAAAUAAGAACAUCCAUGCCCAAAUCGAUAAACUAUCCAUUGAUAAGUUGUGAAGAGUUUAACCAUAAAUAAUCCCUUAACCAGCCCAUCAAAUAAGUGGAAGAUUCAUUAAACAGUGAAAUGUUACCCUUCCAUAAUGUGAUGUGCUUCCAAUGCCAAUAAAAAGUAACCCAUCUAAUAGUAUUAAAAAUCCAAAAAAAUUGCCAAAUAAAACGCGUCCCAUGCCGAAAUAUCAUAAGUACCACCUCUUCCUGGGCCAUCGUACGGAAAACUAUAACCAAAAUCCUUUUUAUUUGGCAUUAAAUUUGAACCAAUAGUGCUAGCAAAUAGUUUUGUCUCAUCGGGAUAGGGGUAGGAAAAAGAGAGAUUUUCGUCGUUUGUGGAUCACUCAGAUAAAUGCAGCAUUCGCAAAGGGGGAGUCUCCCAUAGUCAUAGUAAAUUAAUACAUAAUCUGUACAAUAGAAGGUUGCUUCUUAACCAUAAAAUACUUGCACAAAUAGCUAUAUCACAUAGGAAUUGUCUUUAUAUAAUUUUGAAUAAAAUCAACCCGGAGUCUUUACCGGAGGCUUUAAAAAAUCCCCAGGCUCUCAUGAGAAUAAAUGGAGGUUUCUUCUACCGGACGAGUUAGAAAUUAGUAUGAGAAAAUAUGCUAAAGUAGUCAAAAUGAAUGACCACAUUCAAUUCAAUAAAAAUAGAUUUUGUUUUUCCGAUUCAUUUGUUUCUUACGACACGAUACUCAAAUAUAGAUUCACUCAAAUCUAGAUUUGAGUAAUUAUGAUUCAAGUAAAGAAAAAGUAAGCCUUUUUAUUUCGGGCAUUAAAACCAGUAUUUCUAGCGGUCGACUCGGUUCUUUCAAAUUGUUUCUCAUUAUUGAGAAAAGGUAACAAAGAUAAAAUACGGGCUUGUUUUAUAGCAAGAGUAAUUAAUCGUUGUUGUUUUAAGGUCAAUUUAUUCAUGCGUCUUGAUAAUAUUUUUCCUUAUUCACUAAUAAAUCGACUAAUUAAACUCAUGUUUCUAUAAUCAAUUCGAUCCCCCGAUUGAAUCGGGGGCAAACGCCUACGAAAAGAUCGCUUGAAUUUAAGAAAAGGUCGCUUGGAUUUAUCCAUGGUUUGUUUGUUUAAUUUAUUCCUUAUCCCUAAAAUCCUAUUUCUUAAUUCUAAUUCAUUUUAAAUCCACCCAAAAUAAAAUAGGAUUUUAGAAAAAUAGGAUUUGUUUAGUUUCUAUUUAAAUAUGUUAUAUAUAAUGUCAUUUUUUCCCCUUCCUUGAAAGGGUAAGGCACAGGUACUUGGUUCGCUCUAUUUUUUUAUCUCCCCAUGAAUCGUAUGUUUGUAACAAUAGGGACAGAAUUUUUUCAAUUCUAAUCGAUUAGGCGUAUUGUGCCGGUUCUUUUGAGUACUAUAUCUGGAAAUACCUCUUGAUACCUUAUCAACACUGUUUCGGACACAACUAGUACAUUCCAAAAUCACCGUUACUCGGACAUCUUUCCCCUUGGCCAUGAACCUCCUUUGGAUUUUUGAUUUACUCAACUCUUCUAUUUUCGAUUCAAAACGAAGAAAGGAUAAAAUAGAAGUUACUAACUUGAAAUCCAAUUCUAAAAGUAAAAGAUUAAAAUUAAGAAAAUAAAGUAAUAGUAAAGCAAAGUCAUAGUAAAAUACAACGAUUUUUCUAAAGUAUAUUGCAAAUUUAAGUAAUCAUUUAAGUAUCUUGUAUAAUACUCUCGCCCUAGACCCCCAUUUUCUAUUCUACCCCCAUUCCUCUAUGAUUAAUAUUCAGUUAAUUCGAACUUGAGCCCGAAUGUUGAAUCCACUUUUUUAUUCUUUCUCUUUCCUUCCUUAUUCUAAAAAGGGAAAAAAGAGAAAAGAAGGAGAGAGGGAUUCAUCACCAAUAUUUGAUUGGAUAUAUAAUAUUCUUUAUUCCUUUCCAUGACAAUAACUAGAAUGAAAAAAGGGAAAUGUCAACGCAUCCAGGAAAAAAUAAUUAAUCACUAUCAAUAGACCUGCUAAAGCCCCGAACCAUAGCGUACUUAGUACUGGUGCCACAGAGAGAUAUGUUUUUAGAUAUCGCAUUGAAAAACCUCCUUAUUUUGUAUUAUUUGUUAGAAUAACUUUGCUUGACAAUUAGGAUCUCUUUAGAAAUUAUAAAGAAAAAAUAUGAAUAGAAAUCAUAGAUAUCUUACCAAUCCAAUUGGGUUUUUUCUAAAUGGAGCCUGGAUACUUCAUUUUCUUAGUCCAACCAAGCCAACCAUAAAUUAUUCUAAUUGAUAAUAGUAAUAUGAAUCCUCUAAAAAAUGGAUCUAAUUGCACUUCAUGCUCUAAAUUUUUGAUGAUUCAAUUUAUCAUUUUAUCGUUCUUGGGCAAAACGGGGGAUAUCUCGAUCGGGGGAGAGAAUGGAGAAAUACCAUAUGACCCAAUAUAUCUGACAAGUCGCACUAUACGUCAACCCAAAGUGGAUUUACCUCUCCAGAACCUUAGAAGGGAGCUUUCGGAACACCAAUAGGCAUUAAAUGAAAAAAAGAACUAAAUACUAUAUUUCACUUUGAGGUGGAAACGUAAUAAUUUUUUUAUUGUCUUUAGAAUAUUUAUAUUGGUUCUUAUCAUAUUUAUUUUAUCCAUAGAUUCUAAAAAUUCAUAAAGAAAGAUAGAAUGAAUAAACUCAAAUUAUUACGAAUAGGUCUUUCUAAUGAUAAAUAAGUAUGGACUCAUUCGCUUAUAGAAAAUGAGAUCAACUCCCCCAUUGCGUAUUGGUACUUAUCGAGUAUAGAAUAAAUCUACUUCUCUUUGUUCCUACGAACAGAAUUGUUCUAUUAUUACCACCAGAAUAGAACACCCUUGAUUCGGAAAUAAUCGACUGAACAAGAGUGGUCCAUAGGAUAGUCAUAUUAUAGUCUUUUCCAAUGCAAUAAAGUUACGUAGUGUCCAUUUAUCUUUGAUAUAAGGGGUAUUUCCAUGGGUUUGCCUUGGUAUCGUGUUCAUACCAUUGUAUUAAAAGAUCCUGAUCGGUUGCUUUCUGUUCAUAUAAUGCAUACAGCUUUGGUUGCUGGUUGGGCCAGUUCGAUGGCUCUAUAUGAAUUAGCGAUUUUGAUCCUUCUGAUCCUGUUCUUGAUCCAAUGUGGAGAUAGGGUAUGUUCGUUAUACCCUUCAUGACUCGUUUAAGAGUAACCAAUUCAUGGGGCGGUUGGAGUAUCACAGAGGGGACUGUAACGAAUUUGGGUAUUUGGAGUUAUGAAGGUGUAGCGGGAGCACAUAUUGUGUUUUCUGGCUUAUGAUUUUUGGCAGCUAUCUGGCAUUGGGUGUAUUGGGAUCUAGAAAUAUUUUGUGAUGAACGUACAAGAAAACCCUUUUUGGAUUUGCCAAAGAUCUUUGGAAUUCAUUUAUUUGUCUCAGGGGUAGCUUUCUUUGGUUUUGGUGCAUUUCAUGUUACAGGCUUGUAUGGUCCCGGAAUAUGGGUGUCCGAUCCUUAUGGACUAAUGGGAAAAGUAAAACCUGUAAAUCCAGCGUGGGGUAUGGAAGGUUUUAAUCCUUUUGUUCCAGGAGGAAUAGCCUCUCAUCAUAUUGCAGCAGAAACAUUGGGAAUAUUAGCGGGCCUAUUCCAUCUUAGCGUUCGUCUACCACAACGUCUAUACAAAGGAUUGCGUUGGGAAAUAUUGAAACUGUCCUUUCUAGUAGUAUUGCUGCUAUCUUUUUUGCAGCUUUUGUUGUUGCCGGAAUUAUGUGGUAUGGUUCGGUAACUACCCUGACUGAAUUAUUUGGGCCCACUCAUUAUCAAUGGGAUCAUAGGUAUUUCCAGCAAGAAAUAUAUCGAAGAGUUAGUGUUGGGCUAGCAGAAAGUCAAAGUUUAUCAGAAGCCUGGUCUAAAAUUCUUGAAAAAUUAGCUUUUUAUGAUUACAUCGGCAAUAAUCCGGCAAAAGGAGGAUUAUUCAGAGCAGGUUCAAUGGAUAACGGGGAUAGAAUAGUGGUUGGAUGGUUAGGACACCCUAUCUUUAGAGAUAAAGAAGGGCGUGAACUUUUUGUACGUCGUAUGCCUACUUUUUUGAAACAUUUUCGGUCGUUUUAGUAGACGAAGAUGGAAUUGUUAGGGCCGAUGUUCCUUUUAGAAGGGCAGAAUUGAAGUAUAGUAUUGAACAAUUAGGUGUAACUGUUGAGUUCUACGAUGGUGAACUCAACGACGUCAGUUAUAGUGAUCCUGCUACUGUGAAAAAAUAUGCUAGACGUGCUUAAUUGGGUGAAAUUUUUGAAUUAGAUCAUGCUACUUUGAAAUCCGAUGGUGUUUUUCGUAGCAGUCUAAGGGGUUGGUUUACUUUUGGGCAUGCUUCGUUUGCUUUGCUCUUCUUCUUCAGACAUAUUUGGCAUGGUGCUAGAAUUGUAUUCCCCCGAAAGGAAUGGUGAAGUUGAAAACCUAAUCCUUUAAAUCUUUGUUGUUUAGUCGAUAAAUUAUAUGCCCUUUGGUUGAAUCAUAAGGAAUUACUUCAAUUUUUACUCUAGCUCCUACUCUAUCUCCUGGCACUAUCCGUACAAAACUAUGCCGGAUCUUUUCUGAAAUAGAAUUGAGAAUCCGAUCUAAACAAAUCGGGAAUAGACCGUUGGGAAGCGAUUCAGUAAUUAAAGCUUUAUGACUCCAUUUUGGUUCUUAAAAUUCCCUUGAGGUAUCAACUAAUGAGAAAGAUAUUAGACAACCCCCCUUUUUCUAUUUCACAAAUUUAACAAAUAGGAAGUUUCAAAUCCAAUUUUGAUAUUAUAAAGGAUUACCAGAUAUAACACAAAAUUUCUCCACCUAUUCCUUCUAGUCGAGCCUCUCGGUCUAUUAUUAUACCUCAAGAAGUAGAAAGAAUUACAAUCCCUAUUCCACCUAAAAUUCUCGAAAUUCGUUGAUAAUUAGAAUAGAUUCGUAGACCAGGUCGACUUAUUCGUUUUAAAUUUAAAAUAUUUCUAUAGGGUCUUUUCCUAUUUCUUCUAUGUAGCAGGGUUAAAACCAAAAAAUAUUCGUUGUUUUCUUGAUGUUUUCUCAUGUUUUUGGUAAAAACCUCUCGUAAAAGUAUUUGAACAAUAUUUUUGGUAAUAUUUGUCGAUGCUAUCCGAACCACCCUUUUUCGAUCCAUAUCAGCAUUUAGUAUAGAAGUUAUUAUCUCAGCAAUAGUGUCCCUACCCAUGAUGAACUAAAAUUAUUGGGUUCUCCAAAUUUGAUAUAAUCAACGUGUUUAUACCUAUUUAUUUUUGGAAUAUGAUAUGAAUUAUUAAAGAUAUAUGCGUGAGACACAAUCUACUAAUUAAUCUAUUUCUUUCAAAUACCCUACUAGAAACAGAUCACAAUUUCAUUUUAUAAUACCUCAGGAGCUAAUGAAACUAUUUUAGUAAAAUUUAAUUCUCUCAAUUCCCGGGCGAUUGGACCAAAAAUUUGAGUUCUUUUUGAAUUUCCUUCUUGAUCAAUAACAACCGCAGCAUUGUCAUCAUAUCGUAUUAUUAUCCCAUUGUCAUGUUUGAGUUCUUUACAAGUACGCACAAUUAUAGCCCUGACUACUUUUGAUCUUUCUAGGGGCAUAUUUGGUACUGCUUCUUUGUUCACAACAACAAUAACGUCACCAAUAUGAGCAUAUUGACGAUUUCUAGCUCCUAUGAUUCGAAUACACAUCAAUUCUCGAGCCCCGCUAUUAUCCGCUACAUUUAAAUGGGUCUGAGGUUGAAUCAUUUUUUUAAUCCGUUAUUUGAAUGCAUUUGAAUGCAAAGGGCGAAGAAAAAAAAAGAAAUAUUUUUGUCCAAAAAAAAAGAAACAUGUGGUUUUGUUUCAUAUCUAAGAGCCCUUUCUACAUUUUUGUCUAUUACAUUACGAAAUAAUGAAUUGAGUUCGUAUAGGCAUUUUGGAUGCUGCUAGUGAAAUAGCCCUUCUGGCUAUAUUUUCUGUUACUCCACCCAUUUCAUAAAGUAUUCGCCCCGGUUUAACAACAGCUACCCAAUAUUCAGGGGAUCCUUUUCCUGAACCCAUACGUGUUUCUGCGGGUCUUAGUGUAACUGGUUUGUCUGGAAAUAUACGUACCCAUAUUUUUCCACCACGACGUGCAUUUCGUGUCAUUGCUCGUCGGCCUGCUUCUAUUUGUCGAGAUGUAAUCCAAGCAGGUUCAAGUGCUUGAAGAGCAUAUUUACCGAAAGAAAUAUGAUUACCUCGAUAAGAUAUUCCCUUCAUUCUUCCUCUAUGUUGUUUACGGAAUCUGGUUCUUUUGGGGUUAUAGUUGAUGGUUGUUUCUGAAUUCCAUCUCUACUACAGAACCGGACGUGAGAGUUUCUUCUCAUCCAGCUCCUCGCGAAUAAAAGGAUUCCAAAAAAUUCAAUUUGAAUUAAGCUAGAAGAGUCAAUCUUAAGUUAAGAUAUAUAUGUAUUUACUGAGUAAUACCUUGAACGUGGGCUUCUUUGAGAUUUCAUUAAAUCUAUUAGUAAUUUUUAUAUCUUGUUUAAAUAGAUAACUAAACUUUUUAGUUUUAUAAAUAGAAAUAUAAAAAAUUGUAUUAUUAUACCAAAUCCUUAUUUUGUCCUUUAUUGUAUUGUCCUAAAUUUUUCAAUAAAAAAAGUUUUCGCGGGCAAAUAUUUACUCUUUCAAUCCCUGUUUCAUUUGUAGGGUUAACUCGUGAUUUCUCAGAUCUCAGAAUACAUGAAUUAAUCUAUGGUUCGUUCCGCCCUUCUGACCAGUGAAUCAUUAAGAUUCCUUGUUCAAUAGAAUCUUUUGCAUUCACAAGUUCCGUCGUUCCCAUCACUUCUGACUUAAUGGUUUGGUCCGAAUUCUACAAUGGAGCUCAAAAUGAAAUUGGUUCUUAAGUCAAUCUUCUUAGUCUUUAUUGGCUCGAAGCUCUUGAUUUUUUGUUCUAUUUCUAUAUUUCUAUAAAGAAGAUUCUUUUUAUUAUGGUAUGAAUGCAUAUUGAUGCUUUAUUACACUGCCUUUCAUGAGAUUACUCAUAGACCUUACAUAUUGGAAUUUUAUAUUAUUGGUAUCCUUUUUCUCUCUUUCUCUCAUCCUUCCAAAUUUCCACAUCUUUUUUCUUUAUUUUGCUUUACAACUUGAAUCAGAUUUCGUUUUUUGUUUAUGAAAAAGAUUUCUGUUGCUACAAAGUUAGGACCUAAAUAUCAUAUCUGGACUAGUUCUUUAGAUCCAGCUAAUGCGAAGUGAUGGGUUGGUUAUUAGUUCUAUAGUUUUCAGUUUAUACUAAGUGGGCUGGUCUUUUUAAUCCUAACCCUAAAAAAACCAACGAGUCACACACUAAGCAUAGCAAUUAUAUCAAAUGGUCAAUCGAAUUUUUAUUCAACCUUAUAGAAUUAAGAAUUAGAAAUGUUCCCCUUGAUUGAUUAGAAAAAGAAUGAAUUGGUCUUUUUUUGUACAAUCAUUGGAUAGAAGGGGAUAGAAGGGAAAGACAAGUAGUAAAAUUAUUCCUCGUCUAGAAAUAUCCAAAUUUUGAUGCCCAAUACUACAUAGAUAGUUCGAACUGUAUAAGAUCAAUAAUCAAUUUUAGCUCGAAUCAUUUGUAGGGGAACCCUACCUUCUCUGAUCCAUUCGAUGCAUGAAAUUUCUUUUCCAUCGAUACGCCCCACAAUUUGUAUUUGAAUUCCUUUUGUAUCAACUUGUUUUGUUAAUUCGAUAGCCUUAUUCAUUGCUUUUCUAAAUGAA